rnacentral:tRNA from 1 species
GCCGGGGUCGCCUAGUCCGGUCAGGGCGGUGGGUUGCUAACCCACUGGGGAAAUCCCCGCGUGGGUUCAAAUCCCACCCCCGGCGCCA